rnacentral:rRNA from 1 species
GAUGAACGCUAGCUACAGGCUUAACACAUGCAAGUCGAGGGACCGGCGCACGGGUGAGUAACACGUAUCCAACCUGCCCUUUACUCGGGGAUAGCCUUUCGAAAGAAAGAUUAAUACCCGAUAUAAAGGAUGGGGAUGCGUUGCAUUAGGUUGUUGGUGAGGUACCGGCCCACCAAGCCUUCGAUGGAUAGGGGUUCUGAGAGGAAGGACCCCGACAUUGGGACUGAGACACGGUCCAAACGCCUACGGGAGGCAGGAGUGAUGCAUAUUGGUCAAUGAGCGUUAGCCUGAAACAGCCAAGUAGCGUGAAGGAUGAAGGCUUAUGGGUCGUAAACUUCUUUUAUAUAAGAAUAUGUAUUAUAUGAAUAAGGAACGGCUAACUCCGUGCCAGCAGCCGCGGUAAUAC